UACAGAGGGUGCGAGCGUUGUUCGGAAUUAUUGGGCGUAAAGGGCGCGUAGGCGGUGCGGUAAGUCACCUGUGAAAUCUCCUGGCUCAACUGGGAGCUUGCAGGCGAAACUGCCGUGCUGGAGUGUGGGAGAGGUGAGUGGAAUUCCCGGUGUAGCGGUGAAAUGCGUAGAUAUCGGGAGGAACGCCUGUGGCGAAAGCGGCUCACUGGACCACAACUGACGCUGAGGCGCGAAAGCUAGGGGAGCAAACAGG
rnacentral:rRNA from 1 species